GCAUAUCAAUAAGCGGAGGAAAAGAAACCAACAGGGAUUGCCCCAGUAACGGCGAGUGAAGCGGCAACAGCUCAAAUUUGAAAUCUGGUCCCUAGGGCCCGAGUUGUAAUUUGUAGAGGAUGCUUUUGGUGAGGUGCCGCCCGAGUUCCCUGGAACGGGACGCCACAGAGGGUGAGAGCCCCGUCUGGCUGGCCGCCGAGCCUCUGUAAAGCUCCUUCGACGAGUCGAGUAGUUUGGGAAUGCUGCUCAAAAUGGGAGGUAUAUGUCUUCUAAAGCUAAAUAUUGGCCAGAGACCGAUAGCGCACAAGUAGAGUGAUCGAAAGAUGAAAAGCACCUUGAAAAGAGGGUUAAAUAGUACGUGAAAUUGUUGAAAGGGAAGCGCUUGUGACCAGACUUGGGCGCGGCGGAUCAUCCGGGGUUCUCUCCGGUGCACUUCGCCGCGUCUAGGCCAGCAUCAGUUCGUCGCGGGGGAAAAAGGCUUCGGGAACGUGGCUCCUCCGGGAGUGUUAUAGCCCGUUGCAUAAUACCCUGCGGUGGACUGAGGACCGCGCAUCUGCAAGGAUGCUGGCGUAAUGGUCACCAGCGACCCGUCUUGAAACACGGACCAAGGAGUCGUCUUCGUAUGCGAGUGUUCGGGUGUCAAACCCCUACGCGUAAUGAAAGUGAACGCAGGUGAGAGCUUCGGCGCAUCAUCGACCGAUCCUGAUGUUCUCGGAUGGAUUUGAGUAAGAGCAUACGGGGCCGGACCCGAAAGAAGGUGAACUAUGCCUGUAUAGGGUGAAGCCAGAGGAAACUCUGGUGGAGGCUCGCAGCGGUUCUGACGUGCAAAUCGAUCGUCAAAUAUGGGCAUGGGGGCGAAAGACUAAUCGAACCUUCUAGUAGCUGGUUUCCGCCGAAGUU
rnacentral:rRNA from 1 species